GACGAACGCUGGCGGCGUGCUUAACACAUGCAAGUCGAACGGUGAUCUGGGUACUUGUACCUGGUGAUCAGUGGCGAACGGGUGAGUAACACGUGAGUAACCUGCCCCCCACUCUGGGAUAACUCCGGGAAACCGGGGCUAAUACCGGAUAUGACGCCAACCCGCAUGGGUAUGGUGUGGAAAGUUUUUCGGUGGGGGAUGGACUCGCGGCCUAUCAGCUUGUUGGUGAGGUAAUGGCUUACCAAGGCGACGACGGGUAGCCGGCCUGAGAGGGCGACCGGCCACACUGGGACUGAGACACGGCCCAGACUCCUACGGGAGGCAGCAGUGGGGAAUAUUGCACAAUGGGCGAAAGCCUGAUGCAGCGACGCCGCGUGAGGGAUUAAGGCCUUCGGGUUGUAAACCUCUUUCAGCAGGGAAGAAGCGC
rnacentral:rRNA from 1 species